rnacentral:rRNA from 1 species
GACGUAGGGCGCGAGCGUUGUCCGGAUUUAUUGGGCGUAAAGAGCUCGUAGGCGGUUUGUCGCGUCGGCUGUGAAAACCUGGGGCUCAACCCCGGGCCUGCAGCCGAUACGGGCAAGCUAGAAUUCGGUAGGGGAGACUGGAAUUCCUGGUGUAGCGGUGAAAUGCGCAGAUAUCAGAGGAACACCAGUGGCGAAGGCGGCCAACUGGUCCGGAACUGACGCUGAGGUGCGAAAGCGUGGGGAGCAAACAGGA